UACGUAGGGGGCAAGCGUUGUCCGGAUUUAUUGGGCGUAAAGAGCGUGUAGGCGGUUAGGUAGGUCCGUUGUGAAAACUCGAGGCUCAACCUCGAGACGCCGAUGGAAACCAUCUAACUAGAGUCCGGAAGAGGAGAGUGGAAUUCCUGGUGUAGCGGUGAAAUGCGCAGAUAUCAGGAAGAACACCCGUGGCUAAGGCGGCUCUCUAGUAAGGUACUGACGCUGAGACGCGAAAGCGUGGGGAGCGAACAGG
rnacentral:rRNA from 1 species